GUUUGUGUUGUUUUUAAUCGGUAAAAGAAGGAAAUAUUGUUUUGCGAUUGCCAGAAAGAAGAAGAAGUUGUUGUUUUCUGUAUUUGCCAGUUGCCCAGAAGAGUAAGAAGUUAUCUGCCAUGGCUUAUCCUACACAUCUGCAGUCCAAACCUGAUCCAGAACAGUUCUGCCGUGAUGGGGGGUUUGAAUGUCCCUGCUGCAGUUUCACCACUGAAGAGAAGUUCUCUUUUACACUUCACCUAGAGAACCACAUAAGUCAUGCAGUGGAGCAUGGAGGUUACUUCAUCUUAAAAUGAAUGGCCCAUGGAAGAUCAUUAAAACCAAGGUACAAGAAUGCAA